UGCACAAUGAUGUUAAACCAGUUUUGAUUUUGUUGUUUAACGAAGCCAUGAAAUUAUUAUUUUAUUUAUUCGUCACUACCUCUGAGCA
rnacentral:snoRNA from 2 species